rnacentral:rRNA from 1 species
UACGUAGGUGGCAAGCGUUGUCCGGAUUUACUGGGCGUAAAGAGCGCGCAGGCGGUCGAUCAAGUCGCGUGUGAAAGCCCCCGGCUCAACUGGGGAGGGUCACGCGAUACUGGUCGACUCGAAGGCAGGAGAGGGUAGUGGAAUUCCCGGUGUAGUGGUGAAAUGCGUAGAUAUCGGGGAGGAACACCAGUGGCGAAAGGCGG